rnacentral:rRNA from 1 species
AGAGUUUGAUCAUGGCUCAGGAUGAACGCUGGCGGCGUGCCUAAUACAUGCAAGUCGAGCGAACAGAUAAGGAGCUUGCUCCUUUGACGUUAGCGGCGGACGGGUGAGUAACACGUGGGUAACCUACCUAUAAGACUGGAAUAACUCCGGGAAACCGGGGCUAAUGCCGGAUAACAUUUAGAACCGCAUGGUUCUAAAGUGAAAGAUGGUUUUGCUAUCACUUAUAGAUGGACCCGCGCCGUAUUAGCUAGUUGGUAAGGUAAUGGCUUACCAAGGCAACGAUACGUAGCCGACCUGAGAGGGUGAUCGGCCACACUGGAACUGAGACACGGUCCAGACUCCUACGGGAGGCAGCAGUAGGGAAUCUUCCGCAAUGGGCGAAAGCCUGACGGAGCAACGCCGCGUGAGUGAUGAAGGGUUUCGGCUCGUAAAACUCUGUUAUUAGGGAAGAAUAAACGUGUAAGUAACUGUGCACGUCUUGACGGUACCUAAUCAGAAAGCCACGGCUAACUACGUGCCAGCAGCCGCGGUAAUACGUAGGUGGCAAGCGUUAUCCGGAAUUAUUGGGCGUAAAGCGCGCGUAGGCGGUUUCUUAAGUCUGAUGUGAAAGCCCACGGCUCAACCGUGGAGGGUCAUUGGAAACUGGGAGACUUGAGUGCAGAAGAGGAAAGUGGAAUUCCAUGUGUAGCGGUGAAAUGCGCAGAGAUAUGGAGGAACACCAGUGGCGAAGGCGACUUUCUGGUCUGUAACUGACGCUGAUGUGCGAAAGCGUGGGGAUCAAACAGGAUUAGAUACCCUGGUAGUCC